rnacentral:rRNA from 1 species
AGUGGGGAAUCUUGGGCAAUGGGGGAAACCCUGACCCAGCGACGCCGCGUGGGGGAUGAAGGCCUUCGGGUCGUAAACCCCUGUUAGGUGGGACGAACGUCCUUCUGCGAAUAGCGGGGGGAUCUGACGGUACCACCAGAGAAAGCCCCGGCUAACUCCGUGCCAGCAGCCGCGGUAAUACGGAGGGGGCGAGUGUUGUUCGGAAUUACUGGGCGUAAAGGGCGCGCAGGCGGCUUGGCAAGUCGAGUGUGAAAUCCCUUGGCUUAACUGAGGAAUGGCGCUCGAAACUACCUCGCUGGAGGGCGGGAGAGGGAAGUGGAACUCUCGGUGUAGGGGUGAAAUCUGUAGAUAUCGAGAGGAACACCGGUGGCGAAGGCGGCUUCCUGGCCCGUACCUGACGCUGAGGCGCGAAAGCGUGGGGAGCAAA